rnacentral:rRNA from 1 species
ACAACUUUUAACAACGGAUCUCUUGGCUCUUGCAUCGAUGAAGAACGCAGCGAAAUGCGAUAAGUAAUGUGAAUUGCAGAAUUCAGUGAAUCAUCGAAUCUUUGAACGCACCUUGCGCUCUCUGGUAUUCCGGGGAGCACGCCUGUUCGAGUGU